AGCAGGUCCUGCAGCCGGAGUGAAGUGCGGGCUCCGGCCCCAUGUGCCUUCAGUCACGACCCGCCCAGGUCGCCGGCUUCUGCAGACUCCAGGGGACCGCAGCGGCAGUGCCGCGCUUGCGCCCUGAGCGGAGCCAUGUCCGGUAACGGCGGCGCGGCCACAACCGCGGAAGAAAACGGCUCAAUGAUGAGGGUGAUUCGAGUGGGCACCCGGAAGAGUCAGGUGAGUACAGACCUAGUUGCCUCAAGAAUUCUAAUACUCACAAGGUCACUAGUGGGGACCCAGAGUUCCUAACAUGGAGCAAAUAAGGAUGUACAGGAGUCAAUUUCAUGAGGAAUGGCAGCUUCCUUCCUCUGGAAAG
rnacentral:lncRNA from 1 species